rfam:Tupaia chinensis contig31904, whole genome shotgun sequence.
CCUCCAGAGGCAGCUGUCAACAUCUGGGCCUGCAUCUGAGGCCAGACACGGGGGUGGGAGCUUGGCCCACAGUAACUCAGCUCUCUCUUGGGA